rnacentral:rRNA from 1 species
CGUGUAGGCGGUUUGAUAAGUCGGAUGUGAAAUCCCUGGGCUCAACCUAGGACGUGCAUCCGAAACUGUCAGACUUGAGUCCCGGGAGGGGGUGGCGGAAUUCUCGGUGUAGAGGUGAAAUUCGUAGAUAUCGGGAGGAACACCUGUGGCGAAGGCGGCCACCUGGACGGGUACUGACGCUGAGACGCGAAAGCGUGGGGAGCAAACA